rnacentral:rRNA from 1 species
CGCGUAGGCCGUUGAGUUAGUUAAUUGUGAAAUCCCAAAGCUUAACUUUGGAACUGCAAUUAAAACUGCUCGACUAGAGUUUGAUAGAGGAAAGCGGAAUACAUAGUGUAGAGGUGAAAUUCGUAGAUAUUAUGUAGAACACCAGUUGCGAAGGCGGCUUUCUGGAUCAACACUGACGCUGAGGUGCGAAAGUAUGGGUAGCAAAGA